rnacentral:rRNA from 1 species
CCUACGGGAGGCAGCAGUGGGGAAUAUUGGGCAAUGGGCGCAAGCCUGACCCAGCAACGCCGCGUGAAUGAAGAAGGCCCUCGGGUUGUAAACUUCUUUUAACAGGGACGAAGAAAGUGACGGUACCUGUUGAAUCCGCCACGGCUAACUACGUGCCAGCAGCCGCGGUAAUACGUAGGUGGCAAGCGUUAUCCGGAUUUACUGGGUGUAAGGGGGGUGUAGGCGGGAGAGCAAGUCAGACGUGAAAUUCCAGGGCUCAACCCUGGAACUGCGGUUGAAACUGUGCGGCUGGAGUGAAGGAGAGGCAGGCGGAAUUCCGGGUGUAGCGGUGAAAUGCGUAGAUAUACGGAGGAACACCAGUGGCGAAGGCGGGCUGCUGGACAGUAACUGACGCUGAGGCGCGAAAGCGUGGGGAGCAAACAGGAUUAGAUACCCCAGUAGUC